rnacentral:lncRNA from 1 species
ACAUUUAUCGGCUUACAUUAUCAAAAUUUAUUACAUACCAAAAUUUAUUCGCUUCUCCAUUGUUUAGUAUAGUGGUUGUUACUGUGUAACCUUGUAGAAACUACUUAUAUCACAUAAUGUAUUUAUUAUGUUUGCUUCCAACAUUUCUCUCAGUGUUCGAUGAUUUUUCAAAACAGUAAGACAGCGAUUAAGUUUAUAUACCUCUGGCAUUCGCAAUUCAAGACGGUGUUAACUGUACUAUUGUUACAAAUUGUUAAUUGUUACAAAGUACUGUAAUUUUAAUAAACAAAUAAUUUUAAUCUGUAAAGAGGCUUUAAAUGGAAAUUGAUAUGGCAUUACGACAUAUUUUAUUAAAUGUCAGAUUAAUAUUAAUACUCAUAAUUAUACUAUCUACUAUAAAAUUGACGAAAAAUGAGACUGAAUUGAAUUACAAUGUUUCGGAAAACACUUUAAAACCAUUGCAUUAUGAUGUAAAAAUAAAAUUUGACGGAUACAAUAAUGUCUUUUCUGCGAAAUGCAAUAUUAUCAUCCAGAUUAAUCGUGCAACGAAAAAUAUAACUAUGAUGAGUUCAAAGAUUUUCGGUAUAGCAAAAAUUGACUUGAUUGACAAGAAUGUUAAUCAAACAAUCAACAUCCAGAAAUUUUCAUUUAUCGAUAAAACGUACAUUUAUUUUGAUUUUAUCCAAUCAUCAGUAGAUUUAUUAUCUCCUGGUACGUAUAUCUUAAAAAUAAUAUAUGUCAGUAGCAUAUUAGAUGACGGAGACUUUUUUGAAUCUUUUGACAUAGUCAAAGAAAAAGACAAACUAUUAAACAAAGUAAUAAGAGCAGGAGAACUAUUUCCAUAUUUGAACGAGCCAGUAUUCAAAUCAACCUUUAAAAUUUCUAUUUGGCACCAUAAAAACUACACAUUUUUAUCAUCUAUGCCGAUACAAAAACAAGUUGAAGAUAUGCAUAACAUGCUGUGGACUUAUUUUGACACAUCACCUUUAAUGUCCGCUCAACAUUUAACCAUUGUGAUAACCACAUUCACUAAUUUCUUCGCCUCUAAUAGAAAUGUUAAAAUUUGGUAUAGAAAAGGGAUGAGAUAGACCAGUUGCGAUUUGCAGAAAACAUUGUCCAUAGAGUCGUGCACUAUUUGGCACAAAAAAUUUCAAGAAAAAUAUCAAAAAUAGAUUACAUUGUAACUAAGGACUUUCAACACAGUAACAUAAAGACACGGAGAUUCAUUCUAUUAAGGGAAGAAGAUAUUAUUUAUAAUAAUACCUUAGAUGACAUUGCCCGCAAAAUAAAAGUGGCGAACUUAGUAGCACGUAAAACGAUAUCUCAGUGGUACGAUGAUGUGUUUCUGUGGUCCAAAGAAGGAUUUAUUACAUUUCUUGCAGCGCAUAUUUUGAAUCAGACUCGGUUAUAUUAUCGCAUGAUGGACUUAUUUGUCGUUCAAACACAACAGGAAUCUUUACGUUUCGACACUCGUUUUAUGCCAAAUUU